rnacentral:rRNA from 1 species
GACGACCUCUGGCGGCGUGCUUAACACAUGCAAGUCGAACGGAAAGGCCCUGCUUUUGUGGGGUGCUCGAGUGGCGAACGGGUGAGUAACACGUGAGUAACCUGCCCUUGACUUUGGGAUCACUUCAGGAAACUGGGGCUAAUCCCGGAUCGGCGCUCCUGCUGCAUGGUGGGGGUUGGAAAGUUUCGGCGGUUGGGGAUGGACUCGCGGCUUAUCAGCUUGUUGGUGGGGUAGUGGCUUACCAAGGCUUUGACGGGUAGCCGGCCUGAGAGGUUGACCGGCCACAUUGGGACUGAGAUACGGCCCAGACUCCUACGGGAGGCAGCAGUGGGGAAUAUUGCACAAUGGGCGGAAGCCUGAUGCAGCAACGCCGCGUGCGGGAUGACGGCCUUCGGGUUGUAAACCGCUUUCGCCUGUGACGAAGCGGGAGUGACGGUAAUGGGUAAAGAAGCACCGGCUAACUACGUG